ACCUUUUAAGGCCUGAAGUAUUUACCUGUAAACUUGUACAGUACUUGGAAAAGAAAUUGCAUUUAAUUUGAAAUUGGAAAAAAAAAAGUUUUUGAUACCUUUUUUUUUCUAAACCCAGAGUAAACUUGUUCAAGAUGUUCAAGAGUGACAGUUUCCUCUCCUCUUAAGUUAUUUAUGUUCUUAUGUGUGCUAGUUUGAACUGCGGUUUGCUUAAAAUAUAUUUCUUUUCUCGCCACCAUCAUCAAUGAAGAAAAAACAAAAAACAAAAAAGAAGUCAGUGUGAUGAAGUCAAUGUUACAUUCUCAUUUUUGUCUUUCUUAUCCUGUGGCAUGGUUUGGGUAGACAAGCAGAAGAAAAAUGCCUGUAAAUUUACUUUUCUUUUUUAUUUUCAUCUUUUUUAAUUUAAUUGAAAUUUUUUUUUAAAUUUUCAUUUCAUAAUCUCGGUUAAAAAAAAUAGGUAAACGUGCACUGAAAAUGUCUAAAAUUGAGUUGAAAUGUCGUAGGUGAUGUAGGCCGUAAAAACACACGAUUAAAAAGUUAAAAACUACUGUCUGAUUUUAAUGUUCACUGUGUUUUAUACAGUAUUCGAAAUUUUUUUGUUCACUUUGAACAUUUUUACUAAAAAGAAAACAACAAAAAAAAUUUCAAAUUGUAUUGUGCAAAGAGAUGUAAUUUUUGGAGUACUUGAAAUGCAUUAAUUAAAAGACUCAUUCAAAAUAAAAUAGACCUGUUUACUGUCUGCGAAGUAUGUGCUCUCUGGUUUUUCACAGUUUUAUAUGCUCUACGUUCUUAUUUAAGGCAGUGAAUUUAACUAAAAUGAACAAAAUGUUCACUAAGGUCAGGGGUGUCCCUGUAGGAGGUGGGUUGGGAUCGUUUGAGGAAACUAUCUUUAAACAUAAAGAAAAUAAAGCAUAUCCACCAGUUUUAUAGAGAAAAUGAUGCAUUUAUGACUCAGAAAUUGUCUCCCGCCCCACAGAACGCCCCUCCCAGUGAAGAUGUGCUGAAGUGGGAGUGUCUGAAACAGUAGGAGGUUCUUAAAGAGACAGAGGCCUAUUUCAAGGUGUUUAGAGAGGCUAUGAUGCAAAGUCAACCAUUUAGAAGGAAGAAUAAAUCUUUGAUCAUUUCAGUCACUCAUAAUUUGUAUUGAGACUUUCAACCAGCCCUACAUGCUGCAGCCAGAGGAGAAGGAAGUAGAUGAAAUUGUAGUUAAGUCCAGACAUUAUUUGGCAGUUUUGUUGCAUGUGACGUAUUAGUUCAGAAAAUAGAGAAAACUGAACAAGUUGAAAAAUACGACCCAAACAGAAUAUAAAGUUAUCCACGCAGCACCGGGAGAGACUAAGUUCAAAUUAUCUGCACUCCUAGUGACAAAAAGUAUUUGACAGCUAAAAUGUGGAUUUUGCGCACGUCCCCUUUAAACAAGACAUGGCUUUCAAAGGUCUUUGUUUUCUAGUUUCCCUUUUAUUCUUGAAAUUAUCUCAAUAUUUCAGCUUUAAAUUCUUAGUUUGUUCCCUCACUGUUGGACCGAUGUAGUUGAUUUGUUUGUUUGGUCUGGUGGUUGCAGUACAGAGACUCUGGCAGCAGAGGGAGCACUGGCUUCAGGUCUAUGUUAGUUCCAGCUGUCUGUGAGGAGCUGACAUCACAACCCAUCAGCUGCUGUCCUCGUCCUCUUCCUCCUCCUCCUCCUCCUCUUCCUCCUCGUGGGCCUUCUCGGCCUCGUCGUGGGGAUGGUGCAGCUCGA